AAUGAGUUGCUUAUUGCACCACAUGUGUUUUUCUUUGAAACAAACUUGCUUUGGCGGUGGGCCCAGCCUGCCGCCAGAGGUCUAAACUUGCAACCAAUUUUUUAUCAACUUGUCACACCAGAUUAUUACUAAUAGUCAAAACUUUCAACAACGGAUCUCUUGGUUCUCGCAUCGAUGAAGAACGCAGCGAAAUGCGAUACGUAAUAUGAAUUGCAGAUAUUCGUGAAUCAUCGAAUUUUUGAACGCACAUUGCGCCCUCUGGUAUUCCGGAGGGCAUGCCUGUUUGAGCGUCGUUUCUCCCUCAAACCGCUGGGUUUGGUGUUGAGCAAUACGACUUGGGUUUGCUUGAAAGACGGUAGUGGUAAGGCGGGAUCGCUUUGACAAUGGCUUAGGUCUAACCAAAAACAUUGCUUGCGGCGGUAACGUCUACCACGUAUAUCUUCAAACUUUGACCUCAAAUCAGGUAGGACUACCCGCUGAACUUAAGCAUAUCAAAAGCCGGAGGAA
rnacentral:rRNA from 1 species